UGGGGAAUAUUGGACAAUGGGCGCAAGCCUGAUCCAGCCAUGCCGCGUGAGUGACGAAGGUCUUCGGAUUGUAAAGCUCUUUUUAGCAGGGAAGAUAAUGACGGUACCCAAAGAAGAAGCUCCGGCUAACUUCGUGCCAGCAGCCGCGGUAAUACGAAGGGGGCUAGCGUUGUUCGGAUUUACUGGGCGUAAAGCGCGUGUAGGCGGACUUGUAAGUUGGGGGUGAAAUCCCGAGGCUCAACCUCGGAACUGCCUCCAAAACUACAAAUCUGGACCUAAGUAGAGGCAAGUGGAAUUGCGAGUGUAGAGGUGAAAUUCGUAGAUAUUCGCAGGAACACCAGUGGCGAAGGCGACUUGCUGGACUUAUGGUGACGCUGAGACGCGAAAGCGUGGGGAGCAAACAGGAUUAGAUACCCACGUAGUCCCUGAGCGGGCUGGCAAGGCGCAU
rnacentral:rRNA from 1 species